rnacentral:rRNA from 1 species
GACGAACGCUGGCGGCGUGCCUAAUACAUGCAAGUUGAGCGCUGAAGGUUGGUACUUGUACCAACUGGAUGAGCAGCGAACGGGUGAGUAACGCGUGGGGAAUCUGCCUUUGAGCGGGGGACAACAUUUGGAAACGAAUGCUAAUACCGCAUAAAAACUUUAAACACAAGUUUUAAGUUUGAAAGAUGCAAUUGCAUCACUCAAAGAUGAUCCCGCGUUGUAUUAGCUAGUUGGUGAGGUAAAGGCUCACCAAGGCGAUGAUACAUAGCCGACCUGAGAGGGUGAUCGGCCACAUUGGGCCUGGGACACGGCCCAAACUCCUGCGGGAGGCAGCAGUAGGGAAUCUUCGGCAAUGGACGCAAGUCUGACCGAGCAACGCCGCGUGAGUGAAGAAGGUUUUCGGAUCGUAAAACUCUGUUGGUAGAGAAGAACGUUGGUGAGAGUGGAAAGCUCAUCAAGUGACGGUAACUACCCAGAAAGGGACGGCUAACUACGUG